UCCGUAGGCGGACUAAUAAGUCAGGGGUGAAAUACCACAGCUCAACUGUGGAACUGCCUUUGAUACUGUUAGUCUUGAAUUAUAUGGAAGUAGAUAGAAUGUGUAGUGUAGCGGUGAAAUGCUUAGAGAUUACACAGAAUACCGAUUGCGAAGGCAGUCUACUACGUAUAUAUUGACGCUAGUGGACGAAAGCGUGGGGAGCGAACAGGAUUAGAUACCCUGGUAGUCC
rnacentral:rRNA from 1 species